GAUGAACGCUGGCGGCGUGCUUAACACAUGCAAGUCGAACGGUGAAGGUGGAGCUUGCUCCGCCGGAUCAGUGGCGAACGGGUGAGUAACACGUGGGCAACCUGCCCCUUACUUCGGGAUAACUCCGGGAAACCGGGGCUAAUACCGGAUACGACCUCCUUGGGCAUCCUUGGAGGUGGAAAGUUUUUCGGUGAGGGAUGGGCCCGCGGCCUAUCAGCUUGGUGGUGAGGUAGUGGCUCACCAAGGCGACGACGGGUAGCCGGCCUGAGAGGGCGACCGGCCACACUGGGACUGAGACACGGCCCAGACUCCUACGGGAGGCAGCAGUGGGGAAUAUUGCACAAUGGGCGCAAGCCUGAUGCAGCAACGCCGCGUGAGGGAUGACGGCCUUCGGGUUGUAAACCUCUUUUAGUAGGGAAGAAGCGAAAGUGACGGUACCUGCAGAAAAAGCACCGGCUAACUACGUGCCAGCAGCCGCAGUAA
rnacentral:rRNA from 1 species